GGCGGAAUGGCAGACGCAAGGGACUUAAAAUCCCUGGCCCUUCGGGGCGUGAGGGUUCAAAUCCCUCC
rnacentral:tRNA from 1 species